CCCAAAAAAAGGCAGUGUCUCCUCCAAGUAGUUCAGUUUUUUUAUGUGUCCGAUCUCGAGCAAACCACUGUCCGUUGUAAAGUUUGCCGAAAGUCUGUGGCAACUAAAAGCAGCAGCACGACUAAUUUAUUCCAGCAUUUCUAACAGAGGCACGCAGCUGCGUGGGAGAAGCGUACAGCACUGCGAGUUGCACACGACAGCGGCAGCGCUAAAACACCUGCUAAAAAGCAGGUAACGUUAGUGGAACGCAGUGAGCUCGUGGAACCUCAGGGAAGACCUACACGCCUGCAUGACGACAGACAUGGACCUACCUCCAGUGCUUUGGACACAAACUGCACAACGCCAUCAUGUCACCAUGUUGCCAGAUCUGUCAGGUCAUUUCUUUGGUUUUCUCCAACCAACCAUCGCUGCCCCACUGACCCCUCACCUGCACUCGCUGACUCAAGGUGUUCGCUUACCCUACUCGAUUUGCUGCCUUCCCCCUCUGCCAAGCACCACUGGUACACACAAACACACACCUGCA